rnacentral:rRNA from 1 species
UAAUGUAGCGUAAUCAAUAGCCAAUUAAUUGUUGGCCGGUAUGAAUGGCGUCACGAAGGCCCCACUGUCUUAAGAGGACUCUCCAUGAAAUUGAAUUCGUAGUGAAGAUGCUACGUCCAUAUUGUAAGACGAAAAGACCCCAUUGAGCUUUACUAAAGACUUGCAUGGCUCAAAAUAAUUUGACUUAAAUAAAGAGUUUAGAUAAUGUGGGACCCGUUUCUGGUUAAUGAAACACCACUCUUUUAUUUUAAGAGAGCUAACAUUACAGGGAUAGUGUAAGUUGGAUAGUUUGGUUGGGGCGACCACCUUUUAAAAGGUAACGAAGGUGAGCUUAAGGUCCGUAGUUAAUAGCCGGUGGCCUGACUGCAAGGGGGACGUCUCGAGCAGACACGUCCUUAGGGAUGUGGACUAUAGUGACCCGUCAUCUUAGUGUGGAAUAGUUGACGAUCAACGAAUAAA